UACGUAGGGUGCGAGCGUUGUCCGGAAUUAUUGGGCGUAAAGAGCUCGUAGGCGGUUUGUCGCGUCGACUGUGAAAACCUACAGCUUAACUGUGGGCUUGCAGUCGAUACGGGCAGACUUGAGUUCGGUAGGGGAGACUGGAAUUCCUGGUGUAGCGGUGAAAUGCGCAGAUAUCAGGAGGAACACCGGUGGCGAAGGCGGGUCUCUGGGCCGAUACUGACGCUGAGGAGCGAAAGCGUGGGGAGCGAACGGG
rnacentral:rRNA from 1 species